rnacentral:misc_RNA from 1 species
GAAAUGCGAUAAGUAAUGUGAAUUGCAGAAUUCCGUGAAUCAUCGAAUCUUUGAACGCACAUUGCGCCCCCUGGUAUUCCGGGGGGCAUGCCUGUUUGAGUAUCAUGAAAUCUUCAAAGUAAAUCUUUUGUUAACUCAAUUGGUUUCUACUUUGGUAUUGGAGGUCUUUGCAGCUUCACACCUGCUCCUCUUUGUUCAUUAGCUGGAUCUCAGUGUUAUGCUUGGUUCCACUCGGCGUGAUAAGUUAUCUAUCGCUGAGGACACUGUAAAAGGUGGCCAAGGUAAAUGCAGAUGAACCGCUUCUAAUAGUCCAUUGACUUGGACAAUACUUUUAUGAUCUGAUCUCAAAUCAGGUAGGACUACCCGCUGAACUUAAGC